rnacentral:rRNA from 1 species
CCUACGGGAGGCAGCAGUGGGGAAUAUUGGACAAUGGGCGAAAGCCUGAUCCAGCCAUGCCGCGUGUGUGAAGAAGGCCUUCGGGUUGUAAAGCACUUUCAGUGGGGAAGAAAGCCUUGGGGCUAAUACCCUCGAGGAAGGACAUCACCCACAGAAGAAGCACCGGCUAACUCCGUGCCAGCAGCCGCGGUAAUACGGAGGGUGCGAGCGUUAAUCGGAAUUACUGGGCGUAAAGCGCGCGUAGGCGGUCUGAUAAGCCGGUUGUGAAAGCCCCGGGCUCAACCUGGGAACGGCAUCCGGAACUGUCAGGCUAGAGUGCAGGAGAGGAAGGUAGAAUUCCCGGUGUAGCGGUGAAAUGCGUAGAGAUCGGGAGGAAUACCAGUGGCGAAGGCGGCCUUCUGGACUGACACUGACGCUGAGGUGCGAAAGCGUGGGUAGCAAACAGGAUUAGAUACCCGAGUAGUUC